rnacentral:lncRNA from 1 species
GAUCGAUAAGUAAACUUAGAAUUGAAAGUAAAUACACUAUAUUUAUUUAGUAUGAAUGUUCAUAAUAUACAUAUAAGCGCUAAAAUUAUUCAUGUGAACUUUUGAUACCUUUUCUGAAAUUCUCCAGUCAUUAAAUCUUUUACAAAAUUCAUUGAUUACAAAAAAUAAAGAAGAUGUGGUAUGAUUGCCAUGUUGAGACAACUCUCCACAAGAGACCAAAAUGACACAAAAAUUAACAUAUAUAGGUCACCGUACGACCUUCAACAACGAGCAAAGGUCAUACCGCAUACUCAUCUUUAAAAUGCCCCGAACUGACAAUGUAAAACAAUUCAAACCAGAAAACUAGCGGCCUUUUUUAUGUACAAAAAAUGACCGAAAAACAAAUGUAACACCACUGAAUUACAGGCUCCUUACUUAAAUGUUCAUAACAUACUAAAUGUAUUAUGUUCAUAUUGAAAUUGAUAGAAAACCAAAAAUUGGGAAUUUUGGAAAUAAAAGAGGAGGGAUAAAAAAAACUUUUCCUGUCCCCAAUAACCUAUGACUUAUGAUACUUUUGCUGAAAUUCUCCAGUCAUUCAAUAUUUUACAAAAUUCUUCCAACAACACCUAACAUACUUUAAACUACGCUCUGAAUGCCCGCGAUUUCGCGGGUGUGUUCUAGUAUAUUUGAAAAAGGAAUAAAUAGCUAUGAUGCCGGAAACUAGACUGUUACUUGAUAAAAGAUAAAAACUUGACUUGGAUAGGGAAUUUUAUUUAUCUUCCAAUAACUUUUCUAUAAAAAAAAUGCUUCACUAGGUUGAUAAUUAGUGACCAAAACUUGGAGAUAGAAAAGGAUCGCUAUGACAAAAUUCCUGGAAAGGAUAGAAUUUGUAAACUGUACCACUUGCUGGACGAUGAAAAACAA